rnacentral:rRNA from 1 species
UACGUAGGGGGCAAGCGUUGUCCGGAAUCAUUGGGCGUAAAGCGCGCGUAGGCGGCCCGGUAAGUCCGCUGUGAAAGUCCAGGGCUCAACCCUGGAAAGCCGGUGGAUACUGUCGGGCUCGAGUCCGGAAGAGGCGAGUGGAAUUCCUGGUGUAGCGGUGGAAUGCGCAGAUAUCAGGAGGAACACCGGUGGCGAAGGCGGGUCUCUGGGCCGAAACUGACGCUGAGGAGCGAAAGCGUGGGGAGCAAACAGG